rnacentral:rRNA from 1 species
UACAGAGGGUGCAAGCGUUGUUCGGAAUCAUUGGGCGUAAAGGGCGUGUAGGCGGUCUGUUAAGUCAUGUGUGAAAUCCCUCGGCUCAACCGGGGAACGACGCAUGAAACUGACAAGCUAGAGUACCAAAGAGGGGGGUGGAAUUCCUGGUGUAGCGGUGAAAUGCGCAGAUAUCAGGAGGAACACCGGUGGCGAAGGCGGUUCUCUGGGCAUUACCUGACGCUGAGGAGCGAAAGUGUGGGGAGCGAACAGG